UGUGGUAUAAAUAGCAGCUAACAGCAGCAACAGCCCACAUCAGUCUGCUGCUGUCUGUGUCUGCUCUGAGCUACCGGCAGCGUCAGUGCUGAUUGUAAGAGUUUACUGGAUGUAUUAGUUUGUUAGGAGACACUCGAUUUCACUCCCACAACAGACAACUUUGGAGGAAGAAGCUCAUCUGUUAGCGCUGAUGUAAAGCAGCACCUGGUCAAAGGCUAAAGACGUCCAUUCACCCACCUACAUUUGUCUCAAGAGCCAUUAAACAGGUGCCUGCGGGGAGAGAACUGCAGCAGCAAGGCAGCCAAGUGUCAGAGAGUCAGCGAGAGCGUCACCGCAACCAGGCUUAAAUGAUGAGGGAACACACCCUCAGGUGUUCCAGGUUAUACUGACAAUCCACCUGCAGGACGAACAGAAACACAGGUGAACCACACAGCAGCAGAAGAUGACUCAGCAGGGGUCACAAUAUGGAUGCUCCAAAGAAGCCUCCGCCUUCAGGGACGCCCCAUCUUUAUGUAUUCCUCAUCCAACUGUUAUUAUUUGAUAUGCAUCUCAGGGCCUUUCCAAAAUCAAAGUGUGUGAAAGAAGAUAAUAUGAUGUCUCCCCCGACUGGCUCUGUUUAUGGUUAUGAGGCAUGGUGGCAGCCCCUCAAAGGGAGCAGCUGUCCUUGUGACUGGUUUUCAUAACAGGUAGCUUUCAGCAAGGACAGAGAAAGGGGGGAGUGGUAAUAAUUACCUCUUUGAAAACACUCCCCCGAGGCUAGCCUUAUCCAAGAUUUCUCUCCUCCAUUUCACCAGUCUUUCUCAUCCACCUUCAUUCAGUUCCUCCACAUGAAAUGAAAGAUAGAAGAAAAUUGUUCAUUGACUUUGCUAAAGUAACUUUUAAAUGCUGAAAGGAGUGUAUUCAGAAGCAUCUCUAGUUGACAGGACUGAUUUUAGGGAGAUUGAAGGAUUUUCUGAGAGAUUGGCACCACUUUUUGCCACCAUCAUUUACAGAAAAUAUCCUAUUGUUUAUUAAUAACAUAUGUUCAAGGUUUCUUAAUUAGUACUCAAGGGUAAAUUUGUUGUGCAGACGAGAGAUUCAGCAUUCCAGAGUUAAAAACAACAUCGCAGCAAUACAGAUUCAAGAGACGUCAAAACAAAAUACAUUAAAACAAGUAUCAUCAUAGUAUCAAAAAUAGUAUCAGAGUACAAGAACUCCUAAGAAGGUCAUGACAAAGUGCCUCUACACACACUCAUCCACUCACUCAAAAGCUUAAAGUGCCAUGCAUGGGUAAAGUGCAUCAUCUUGUGAUAGCUUUGUUUAGUAGUGCAAUGGCUGCAGGUACAAAAGCAUUUCUGUAUCGUGUUGUUCUCCACCGACAGCCUGAGCGAAGGAGCUGGAAUUCACUAUAGAACAGAGCUCACCUUACAAUGUUUUUUUUUUUUUUUUUAAUGCAUGAAUUGUGCUAUAUGAAUAGAAUGAAAAGUUUCCUCCUCCUCCUCCUCUUCUUCUUCUACUUAUUAUUAUUACUAUCAAUAAAAGUCCAAUAAAAGAGUUUCAUCUUGGUUUUAUCAAUGUGAAAAUGGGACAGUUUUCUGAGACAAAACAAAUGCUCAUGUCCCUUUUUACACACUGCUCUCAAAAUUCUUCUCAAAGGUCAAUUUAGAGUCAAUGGCCCUGUUCACGCUUAGUUUUAAAACCUGUCUUGGGUGAUCGGGUCACGGGUAGAGCGCAGUAAAUACAAGUGUAAACGACCACCAAGACAAGUUGUGAUCUGAUCACUCAAACCACUUGCUGAGGUGGUCUGGUAUGCAUUUUACCACAUAUCUUUUGUAGUGUAAAUGCUAAUGCAUCCUGAUGCGUCCUCGACAAGGAUGUAAAAAGAAAAUACAUCAAACCAGGAUGUGGUGGUUGUUUUGGUGACAAUAGUCCUACGCCAAAUGACUUUGUCCUGCCAAUCUCAACAGUUGGAAUAGCCCGUACAUGUAUAUUAGUUCUUGAAACAUUUGUGUUUUCUUAGCUAGUCCGUGCAAAACAAAUUUGGUGCUUGUCUGGAUACAGACUGACAUAAUAACUAUGCGCGUGGCCCUUUGACCUUCUAGCGGAAGUGACAUAAGCAGUAACAGAAUCUGAGCAGAAGUGGUCAGCUGUGUUCAGAUCACUGAAAUGCAUUUUAAAACCAAGUAAACAGCCUCUAUGACUGUCCCAAGAUACCUGUAGCUUUCUACACAGUCUGGUCUUUGAUUGAUGGUAGUCUCAUAGAUUGAAGUAUGAGUUCUGAAAUCUAUGAUCAUAUCCUUUGUCUUGGAUACGUUUAGCUCCAAGAAAGAUUUGUCACACCAGGUGAUAAACUCAUCAAUGACUGAGCCUUGGCUGGACUCCUUGUUGUGUAGCAGACUCACAAUGACUGAAUCAUCUAAAAACUUCAAUAUGAUCCUGUUCUUAUGCUUACUUUGGCGCAUGUUUGUGUACAGAAUAUAAAGUAAAAGUGAGAGAACACAUCCCUGGGGUGAGCCAGUAGAUGACCAUAAUGAAUCUGAUAAAAUGCGGAGUUGGAUAGUAUUAAAGGCUGUAGAAAAAUCAAUAAAUAGCAAUCUAGCAUGGGUUUUAUUCCCCUCUAGGUGUUUAAACAAAAGGUUAAGUAAGGUCAUUAUAGCAUCCUCAACUCCUCUGUGUGCCCUAUAGGCAAAUUGCAUAGGGUCGAGUGCAUGCCUGGUUUCCCUUGUAAACUCUGUCUUCACACACACAAGAGAAGUGUGGGCAACCAGCCUGAAAUCAUUAAAAGCUUUGGGGCUGCUGCCUGUAGGAAGAGGGGUGAUCAGAUCCUGCUUCCACAGGUUAGGUAUACGUUGUAGGUUCAGAGACAAAUUGAAAAUAUCAUAAAAGAUAGAUCUUAAUUGCCUUGCACAUGACUUCAGUAACUUUCCACUGAUAUACUCAUGGCAGGACAACGCCUCUUGAUUAUCUUUAGAGAAUGGAAGGACUUUUCAACUUCUCUUUGCUCCAGGACAAAGUACUGAUUGUCUUUGAGUUUACAUCUAAGUCCCUCAACUUCAUCUCUAAAGUCAAACUGAUCAAAUCUCUGAUAGAAGUUAUUAAGAACAUUGGCAGAUUCACUAUCUGACCUGAAGCCAUCCAUACAGUAGUUAUGUUGGUUCUGUUCUUGCUUUGCUGUAUGCCUGUGAUUGUUUUCAUGCCAGACCAAGCUAAGACAAGGUUCCUCUCAGCCCCUCCUCCUUGACUGAAGGACAGGUUCUUCUUCUGUGGACUGUAGACUAGACCUAAUUGCCUUAGACAUCCACUGUUAUUGGAGUAAACCUUAAUCUUUUUAGUAGGAAUAAUCAUAUUCUCACAAAAGGUAACAUAAGAACAGAUUACAUCAGUGAGUUCAUCAAUGUCCUUGCAAGAGUCUUUGAACAUCUCUCAGUCAAUGCAGUCAAAGCAGCCUUGAAGACAAGCAGUGGAUUCCUCAGACCAGAUUUUAACAUCUUUGGUCUGGAUUUUUUCAGUUUUAUAUGUAGAGAGAAGGAGCAUGUAGUUGUGGUCAGCAGAACCUAAGGGAGGCAGGGGGAUUGAUUUAUAUGCUCCCUUAACGGUACCAUAACAGAGAUGUUAUUCUGCCUGGUUGGACACGUUACAUAUUGGUAAAAGUUUGUCUAAGACUUUUUUAGGGACAUAUGAUUAAAAUCUCCAAGUUUGAGGUUCAGUGCUUUGGGUGAAAUGGACUGUAGUUUUUGCACUACAUUAAAUAUAGUGCUUGUGGCAGUGGCAGGAUUUGCCUUUGGAUGAAUAUACACAGAUGAAUAUUUGUGGGAAUUCACAUGGUAAAUAGAAUGGACGGAGCGACACUGAUAGAAGUUUAACAUCAGGCGAGCAGAGUCUUUCUCUGACAGUCGCAGAGCCACAAUAGCACUUAUUGACAUAGAGGCACAAGCUCCCUCCAUUAGAUUUUCCUGUCACCUCUGCUUGACGAUCCAGGCAAAAUGGAGUACCUAAUCCGUCUAUAGACAGGUCGCUAUCUGAGUCCUGCUCAGUGAGCCAAGAAUCCGUGAAUAGCAUGAUGCAGCUGUCUCUGUAGUCUUUGUAGUAGAUUUCCUUGUAGCUCAUCAAGUUUAUUCCACAAGGACUGGACGUUUCCUGUAACCAGGAGGGCAGGGGAAUACUGCGAUUACCCACCUGUGACAGGAUGCUCCAGUCCAAUAAAUCACGGUGUCAGAGAGGCUGGAAGGAAGUGCAGCGUAUACAGAAGUGUUUUCCCUCAGUGCAGGAAAACUAGUAGACCUGAUUGCCUUCAUCCAUCAGAACAGAACUGUGCAGCAAUGAACGGGGAGAGGAAAGCCCAGAAGAUUUCAUCUUUCUGUCUCCGUACAUUAGAAAGUGAUGUAAAGUGAUGAGAAAGUAAAUAUUUAUAAGAUUGGUAUUGAUAUUGGUAAAUCUCAGGAAUAUCGUGUGGUUGCUUGUUGGUGUUUGUGUAUUUUCCCUGUGUGGCUUCUGAUAUUCUGAAUACAAUGAUAUAUGAGGUCCGUCCAAGUGUUCAAAUAUUUUGUCACCAUGGACAAAAUGUAAUAACUGUGAAUAAAUAUGUGAAUGCUCGAUAUGGAGUUUUGGAAAAGCCACUUUCAGAUGGUUCUUACACUAAACACCAAAAAAAUUAUAAAUUUGUGAUGUUCAGCUACUCCAGGGCUUAAUGUAUAAUGCAGUAAGUGCUAUUUUUUGUCUGUUUUCUUUAGAAAGUCUGGUCAAGAGAUCAAGAGAUUUUAUUGUCAUUUGCGCAAGUACAGAACAGUAAAGGUACAUUGGAAUUAUUCUCUAACUCACUGGUCCCCAGUAUAGCCCCCAAUAAAUGCACUAUUUCCACCUGUUUGAGCAACAUUCACUAAAAACCAGAGAUGCACCGAUCCACUUUUUUCAGUUUUGAUCCAAUUCUGAUACCUGAAUUUGGAUAUCUGCCAAACCAAUACUAGAGCUCUUUUUUCUUGACUAUUAUUAUUAAUAUUGUAAUCAUUAUUAUUGUUAUUGUUGUUGUUAUGUGUAAGGCUACAUGCGGCUGUAAUAAACCACACAGCACUUCUUAUUAAAAGAGGUAAAAAUAUACAAAAAUGUAUUAAAUUUUAAUGUAUUCCAAAGCAAAAUUUGACAUGGUGUGUAGUGUGACUUUAAAGAAAAAUCCAUUAGUUUCUACUGGGGAGUUGUGCUGACCCAAAACAGCAUGCAGACAGAUUCUGAGGUUAAAAACAAAUUAAUUUAUUAUAAGCUAAAACACAAGUUAAGAACAGAUUGAAAACACAGGUUAAAAGUCCAAGUCUCUCAGAAGAAAUAAAACAUCACUAAAGGAAAUAAAAUGUCUCAGUGUUAAGAGUCCAUCUUAGAGCAGUCCUGUUUUAGCUUUGUCUGCAGCAUGCGGGUGGUCUCACCAGACUUAUCUGUCUCAGUCUCCUACUGCAUCAAGAGUUCAUAUGAUGUAAGGUGGAAGAAUCCAGCUAUAUAAACUAAAAGGGACGAGCCAAAAUAAUAGCACAGAUUCACCCCUCCGCUUUCCAACAAAGUGUGUCCCUCUUUCCUCCAGCGGCCUGCAGGCACAGCAUGCUGAGCUCCGUCUCCUUCCUUCUGUUGGCUGUUUGCCUUGCUUUUAUACUCUCCUUUUCCGCAACCAGGCCAUAGGCUGGCAUCUUCCCUUUGUUCUUAGGUUGCGUUCAUUGCAGUCUCUUCUACACUGGUCCGUCACUGCAUCCAUGAGCUCUGCUUCUCUGUCGGCCGGUCAAAACAUUAGACUAUGGAAUCUGGAUUGGAAUGUGGAUCAGUAAUGUCAGUCCAAUAUCCGAUGAGUGAAU